GAUUGUGUGGGUGAUCUGACAGCAACAUCUGUCACCCACUGGACCCAGACAUGACACAGCUCAUUUGGCUGCCUAGUGUAGUGUUGCCUUCCUCCUUCACUGCUCUGCACAUGGCCCUCCUGAAGCUGUGCUAAAUUAUUGGAGAUUUUAAAAACAACUCUAAUGGCUUUGAUUGAAGAGCUGCAAACUAGGUAUGAAGAAAUUCAGCCAUAUUAGGUCCCUAGGCAAUUUUUUGGGCUAAAGAGAUAGAAGAUUAUUCUAGAAACUUGGAUAAUAAAUACCUUGAAAAAGGAACCACUUAUUGUUUACUCACGGAAGGUCUAU
rfam:Otolemur garnettii contig156235, whole genome shotgun sequence.